UACGUAGGGUGCGAGCGUUAAUCGGAAUUACUGGGCGUAAAGCGUGCGCAGGCGGUGAUGUAAGACAGAUGUGAAAUCCCCGGGCUCAACCUGGGACCUGCAUUUGUGACUGCAUCGCUAGAGUACGGCAGAGGGGGAUGGAAUUCCGCGUGUAGCAGUGAAAUGCGUAGAUAUGCGGAGGAACACCGAUGGCGAAGGCAAUCCCCUGGGCCUGUACUGACGCUCAUGCACGAAAGCGUGGGGAGCAAACAG
rnacentral:rRNA from 1 species